UCUGGAAACAGCAGGGUUAAGAAUGCCUCUUGAUGUUCAUCCACCUCUAACCAUGACACCAGCCAGUCCCUCAUCUUGCACCAUAUGUUCUAGGUGAAUUGCCAUGGAUUACAGAGAGAUCAUUGGAGUGAAAAGCGCUUUCU